AGCACUGAGUCAGGACGGAGAAAUUGAGGGAGAAGCAACCACUGCGUGUCGCCGGCGGUGCUUCCAGGGCUUGCCUGCUGAGAGGACGCUGACCCAGCUUACCUUCGACUCCAAAUGGAACAGGGGGCAGUGGAAACCAAGAUGGUCUCACCGUGGGGGCCGCAACGGUCUGCUCCGCACGGGGGCGCCCCUGGGGGCCACGGUGUGCAUGUGUUUGUGGGGGGCCGCAUCUGCUCCGCACGGGGGCGCCCCUGGGGGCCACGGUGUGCAUGUGUUUGUGGGGGGCCGCAUCUGCUCCGCACGGGGGCGCCCCUGGGGGCCACGGUGUGCAUGUGUUUGUGGGGGGCCGCAUCUGCUCCGCACGGGGGCGCCCCUCUGGGCCACUGUGUGCAUGUGUUUGUGGGGGGGCCACGGUCUGCUCCUGGGUGUUUGUGGAGGGGCCACGGUCUGCUCCGCACGGGGGCGCCCCUGGGGGCCACGGUGUGCAUGUGUUUGUGGGGGGGCCGCAUCGGCUCCUGGGUUUGUGGGGGGGGCCACGGUCUGCUCCACAUGGGGACGCAUGUGUGGGCCACUGUCUGUCCCUGUGUGUUUGGGAAGGGGGGCCCGCAUCUGCUCCGCACGGGGGCACCCUUGGGGGCCACAGUGUGCAUGUGUGUGGGUAUGGGGGCCACGGUCUACUCCGCACGGGGGCGCAUGUGUGGGCCACGGUCUGCCUCUGUGUGUUUGGGAGGGGGGGGGGGGCCGCAUCUGCUCCGCACGGGGGCGCCCCUCUGGCCCACGUUGUGCAUGUGUGGGCGUGGCACGGCCUCACUUCUGCCACUCCCUCUCAGGAAAAAGCAUUUGCUCCUCAGUGUCGCGGUCCCAGGCGCGCAUUCAGGGUUAGGAGCGGGGCGGAGCGGGGCGGGGCGGGGCGGGGCCACGGCCUCGGCCCCGCCUGGCGGACUCCCGGCCCGCGGGCUCACUCGGCUCCCCUCUAACACGCAGGCUCCGGGGUGGGGGCACACACGCCCCUCUCGUCACACGCGUGUCCACGGACACACGCAGAGGGUCUCAUGGCGCUGAAUCUCCUUCCCCCAAAGGGAAGCCCGGAGGAGGAGGGCGGAUCCCCAGGGAUUCCCUUGGCCCCAGACCAGGUGAGUUGGGGUCCCCUUGGCCUCCAGGCUCACCUCGCUCAGACUCCCUCAGCCUCCAAGCCCCCUGCCUCA
rnacentral:lncRNA from 1 species